UACGUAGGGUGCAAGCGUUUGUCCGGAAUUAUUGGGCGUAAAGAGCGCGCAGGCGGCUUGGCAAGUCGGGUGUGAAAUCCCGGGGCUCAACCCCGGGACUGCAUUCGAUACUGUCAGGCUAGAGGUAGGUAGGGGAGAUCGGAAUUCCUGGUGUAGCAGUGAAAUGCGUAGAGAUCGGGAGGAACAUCAGUUGCGAAGGCGGCUCGUCUGGACCAGCACUGACACUGAGGCACGAAAGCGUGGGGAGCAAACAGGA
rnacentral:rRNA from 1 species